rnacentral:rRNA from 1 species
AGAGUUUGAUCAUGGCUCAGAUUGAACGCUGGCGGCAGGCCUAACACAUGCAAGUCGAACGGUAACAGGAAGCAGCUUGCUGCUUCGCUGACGAGUGGCGGACGGGUGAGUAAUGUCUGGGAAGCUGCCUGAUGGAGGGGGAUAACUACUGGAAACGGUAGCUAAUACCGCAUAAUGUCGCAAGACCAAAGAGGGGGACCUUCGGGCCUCUUGCCAUCGGAUGUGCCCAGAUGGGAUUAGCUUGUUGGUGGGGUAACGGCUCACCAAGGCGACGAUCCCUAGCUGGUCUGAGAGGAUGACCAGCCACACUGGAACUGAGACACGGUCCAGACUCCUACGGGAGGCAGCAGUGGGGAAUAUUGCACAAUGGGCGCAAGCCUGAUGCAGCCAUGCCGCGUGUAUGAAGAAGGCCUUCGGGUUGUAAAGUACUUUCAGCGGGGAGGAAGGGAGUAAAGUUAAUACCUUUGCUCAUUGACGUUACCCGCAGAAGAAGCACCGGCUAACUCCGUGCCAGCAGCCGCGGUAAUACGGAGGGUGCAAGCGUUAAUCGGAAUUACUGGGCGUAAAGCGCACGCAGGCGGUUUGUUAAGUCAGAUGUGAAAUCCCCGGGCUCAACCUGGGAACUGCAUCUGAUACUGGCAAGCUUGAGUCUCGUAGAGGGGGGUAGAAUUCCAGGUGUAGCGGUGAAAUGCGUAGAGAUCUGGAGGAAUACCGGUGGCGAAGGCGGCCCCCUGGACGAAGACUGACGCUCAGGUGCGAAAGCGUGGGGAGCAAACAGGAUUAGAUACCCUGGUAGUCCACGCCGUAAACGAUGUCGACUUGGAGGUUGUGCCCUUGAGGCGUGGCUUCCGGAGCUAACGCGUUAAGUCGACCGCCUGGGGAGUACGGCCGCAAGGUUAAAACUCAAAUGAAUUGACGGGGGCCCGCACAAGCGGUGGAGCAUGUGGUUUAAUUCGAUGCAACGCGAAGAACCUUACCUGGUCUUGACAUCCACGGAAGUUUUCAGAGAUGAGAAUGUGCCUUCGGGAACCGUGAGACAGGUGCUGCAUGGCUGUCGUCAGCUCGUGUUGUGAAAUGUUGGGUUAAGUCCCGCAACGAGCGCAACCCUUAUCCUUUGUUGCCAGCGGUCCGGCCGGGAACUCAAAGGAGACUGCCAGUGAUAAACUGGAGGAAGGUGGGGAUGACGUCAAGUCAUCAUGGCCCUUACGACCAGGGCUACACACGUGCUACAAUGGCGCAUACAAAGAGAAGCGACCUCGCGAGAGCAAGCGGAUCUCAUAAAGUGCGUCGUAGUCCGGAUUGGAGUCUGCAACUCGACUCCAUGAAGUCGGAAUCGCUAGUAAUCGUGGAUCAGAAUGCCACGGUGAAUACGUUCCCGGGCCUUGUACACACCGCCCGUCACACCAUGGGAGUGGGUUGCAAAAGAAGUAGGUAGCUUAACCUUCGGGAGGGCGCUUACCACUUUGUGAUUCAUGACUGGGGUGAAGUCGUAACAAGGUA